CUAGGUUGUUCCAUUCGCUUCCGGAUCUUUCUGGACGCGCCACGCGCCGCCCCCGGCAACAUCUCGAACCUUCUUCCUCCUCCUUUAUACCACUCCCCUCUCCCUCACUCCGCUCCGCACUGCAGAAUCCAAUCCAGUCCAAUCCAUCGAGCUCUCGAAGUCGACUUGCGCCGUCCCAUCCGAGUUCCCCACCCACAGCGAGGAACCAACCCGAGGAAGAAAGAAGCCAUGGCCGAGCUGCUGUUCGCCCCUGCCGUGGCCGGCCUCGUCCACCUGCCGGAGGUGCUCGAGCGCCUCGCCGCCGCGGACGCCGACCACCGCGACCGCGCCCACCACCACGCCGCGCACGGGCACGGCCACGGCCACCCCGGCGCGCAGAUUGGGGCCGGGGGCGUGGGCGGCGGCGCGCCAGUGGACAUCGUGGAGACCCCCGGCGAGUACGCCUUCCUGCUCGACGUCCCCGGCCUCUCCAAGUCCGACAUCCAGGUGACUCUGGAGGAGGACAACGUGCUGGUGAUGAAGAGCGCCAGCAACGGCGGCGCCAACGGGAAGCGGAAGCGGGAGGAUGAGGAGGCGGACUGCCGCUACAUCCGGCUGGAGCGCCGCGCGUCGCCGCGGUCGUUCGUGCGCAAGUUCCGGCUGCCCGAGGACGCGGACGCCGGCGCCGUGGCCGCGCGCUGCGAGAACGGCGUGCUCACCGUCACCGUCAAGAAGCAGCCGCCGCCCGAGAAGAAGACCAAGUCCGUCCAGGUCGCCAUCGCCUGA
rnacentral:rRNA from 1 species